GUAUUCAAAGUCAGCACUGCUGCUAUAUUGAACCGCGUGAUGCAGGUGAGACGGCCAGAGGCAUUCCACUUGUUCAUAUUAUGUGUCCAUGGAGCAUUGUGGAGAAACAACCAGAGUCCAGAUUUGGUGGGACCUGAUCCUUGGGAGGGAAGGCGGGAUAUUUCCACAAGAAUACCUGUUUAUCCCGCUUGGACUCAGUGUAUUACAAUAGACUGGGGUCAUAACUGGAACUAAUUAGGUAUUCGUGUGGCCAUAUCUUUGAUCUAUACAAACUAUUCCAUGUCAAAUUUAAUUUGAGGAUUGUUUACAUCAUGUGCUAUGCCUAUGGUCAUGGUUAUGAAAAGGCUGAAAUGCAAAUCAAACUUGUCAGCUUCAUCACAAUUUUAGUACUCUAUUACAAAGAGAGGCUAAUUUUCAAGCACAAUUAUGUUGAUGUAGAUGGUGCAUUGUGUUAAAGAUCUAUGCCAUUUUAGUUAAUAUUAGUAACUCCUUUGGAUUUAUUUUGAUGUCUAUGGUGUAACUGCUGUUUCGUCUAUACUACAAUUGGUCCAAUGCCCACUUAGUCUAAUCUUCAUUUAGUCUAAUGCCAAAAUUGUCUCAUUUGCACUUAAUCUACUAAGUUAUUUUGCACUUUGUCAUACUUGGUUCAUAAUAAUAUGCUAAUGUGAUGUUGGACCAAGUGGAUAUUACACUGCAUUGAUAAUUAGACAAAGUAGUUAUUGGGCUGAAUGACAAUAUAGACCAAAUGGUUAGUAGACAAGUUGGUUGGAGAUGAAAUAGGAUUAAUCCAUGUAAGAUAUGAGCUAACAUAAAAGGAAAGAAAGAAGUUAUAUUCCUCUGUGGCAGUGAAGCAAUAAGCUUACAUGCCCCCAAUUACUUACUUUUUGUUUCUAAUAUUUGAACUGAAAACAGGAUGGUUGCCAAACAUUGUCAGGAAAUAUGUUGGGGGAUUUCCUCUAAUUUCAGAGUUCCAUUCAUCAAAAAGUAUCAUGGAUGAAGUAAAUUGAUGUAUUGUUAGCACAACUCCUUUCCUGUAUUUUUGACCUAUAAACAAUUUCAGGAUUUUGACUUCCUGUGCGUGGGUAUAAUAGCUCAAUUGAGGAAAACAUUAUCUGUCUGUCUUGGAAAGAUUUGAACAUUAUUUUUCAAGGCCAGUCAGAAUCUGCCCCAAUAAUGACCUCCAUUACUAAUUAUACAUUGUUUGUUGGUUUUAUAUGAUACUUAUUCAGUUUUUGUGGGCAUUUUCCCUUUUUACAGGGGAGGGGGGGGGGGGGCUCAACUCAAGUUUUGCAAUUUUGUUUUCCCUUGUUUCGAAACUCUUGUUCGAAUAUUUUAUCUAAUGAUGUUUAUUUCAAAGCAUAUCCCCAUCUCCCAAAGAAGAAGAAAAAAAAAUGUGACAGUCAAGUAAUGUGAAUUUGAUAAUCAUUUGGUAUGCUGCACUAUAUUGUACAUCUCAUGUUUCCUUUCCUAUUACCCAUUAAUUAAUUUUCAGUAGCUAUAUUACAAAUCUAAACUUUUCACCGAUCAGGAAUCUCAGCUUGCAUCUUAUUAGUCUUAUCAUAUCCAUGCUAUAUGCAAUUUAUGGGGGAAACUUUUUUUAGUUAAUCUAUGUUGAAUAUGCAUACCAUGGUAGUCGGUUAAGUUUAGAAAAAUAAAUUAUGUUGGCAUAUCAUUCUAAAGUUACAAGGUUUGUUUUGAGAAAAGUAGGUAAAUAAAUAUGAAAUAAAUUGGUAUAGACUGAUUCAUUUUAAGGAUUACUUAAGUUUUUAUAGAUAUUGGAAGCAAUUUCCAACUAUUUGACAGCAUGGAUUGUGUUUGAUUUCUGAUUUUUUUGUCAUGUUUGUUGAAAUGUUCUUUUUUGCCUGAACCACCAUUUUGCAGAAUAAUGCCUUGGAAAUCAGUGUUUUUUGACAACUUGACUGUAAUAUUCAAUUCAGAUUGCAUAUAUGAGAAAUGCCUUGAUAAUUGUUAAUGUAACUGCCUUGCUACAAUAUAUUGAAAUGAAUUUAUACCAAGUGAUCCAGACCUUGCAUUAAAGAGUCUGAAAGUUUAGAGUCCAAGAGAGGAGUAGGGAUUGUGUUCUGUUCCUGUAAAAAGUAAAAUAUGCUAGUUUUGUGUCAAGACCACCUUGUUAACUAAAGUGUAAAUUAGGGUCUGUGCCUCCAGACUACCAAGACUCCCAGUAAUAUUUAAGUUGAUGAAAUUAAUUACUUGUAACCAUGAAAGUCCUACUUUUUUAGCAUUUGUUAUCAAACCCAUUUUGUCUUCUGUUGCUUACUUUGUUGAGCUACAUGUAUUGCUAUAGGUUUAUUGAUUCAACUUUAUAUUUUUAAGUGCACAUGAAAUGUAUGUUGGUAUUUGUUGUCCAUGCAUAUUUCCCUAUGUUGAGCAGUUUUUCAAAUAACUUUAACCAACCUCUGUAUUGUGGAGGAUACAUGUCAUAAUUGUCUGAUAUCUUCAAUUGUUUUUAAUCUCAUUUGGGUGAUUUGAAGCCCCCUUUUUUAUAAAUUGAACUUUCUUUUCAUCUACUUAAAAUUAUAUCCCUUUGCAUUUUUGCAGAGAGAUUUUCAUUCUCCUUUAACUUUUGCCAUCAUGUCUUUUCAAUACUAUGUACAUGUAUCUUUAUUACACAUAAUAUUAUUGGUUUAUAUCUGUGUGUACUGUAUGUUUUUCAUAGAAUUGUGAAAAUCUAAUUAUUUCAAGGCUUCCAUUAUUUGGAUGGAUUACAAAUAAAUGUGUCUUUAAUGAAGGGAUUAAAAUAGAAAAA
rnacentral:lncRNA from 1 species